AGCUCCGUUCUCCUGUUCAGGGCAACAAAAGAAGAUCAGUUGGGAGGCUGAGAGGCAGCGGGGGCGAGGCCAGCCUGUUUGCCGGUUUUCUAAACUGCUUAAAAUUUCCACUACCAGUUCUCCAGAACCUGUCAGAACUGGCUGAAUACCACCUCUGAUUUAUAUGUCAGCCUUACAAGGUAAUCCAGACAGCACACUAAAACCAUGAGUACUAUUGCUACCUCUAUUGUAAGGUUACAGUAACAGAAUCUUGCAAGUCUGAAAACCAUUUUCCUCUUUAUUCCAGAAACUGUGCAGGGUCCCUUCUGAGAGAUUUUCUGCAAUCCCAUUCCAGCUUUGGACUCAGAACUCUCUUAUCAGAUGAUUGAUUAGGCUGUGGAUCUUCCUCCUGCCUCCCAAGGUUAUUUUCACAUUCCAUUACACUGCAGGAGCCUAUUCUUUCAGCUGAAAACUACCUAGCAGGUGUGUUUGUCUUAGAUGGGCACACUGCAGCUUCCUCUCUCAUGGGAAGGGACAUUUGAUAUCAUGUUUGGUGGAUGUGGAAAAAACUCAGAAAAUGUUGGAUUCAGUACAUGCACUAAUUCAGAAGAUUUUCAAGACGAAUGUACAAUUGAAACCAGAGACCUAUAUUUUG